rnacentral:rRNA from 1 species
GAUCAUGGCUCAGGAUGAACGCUAGCGGCAGGCCUAACACAUGCAAGUCGAGGGGUAGAGGAAGCUUGCUUCCUUGAGACCGGCGCACGGGUGCGUAACGCGUAUGCAAUCUACCUUGUACAGAGGGAUAGCCCAGAGAAAUUUGGAUUAAUACCUCAUAGUAUUAUUGAAUGGCAUCAUUUAAUAAUUAAAGUUCCAACGGUACAAGAUGAGCAUGCGUCCUAUUAG